rnacentral:rRNA from 1 species
GAUGAACGCUGGCGGCGUGCUUAACGCAUGCAAGUCGAACGAAGCAUUUAAGACAGAUUACUUCGGUUUGAGGUCUUUUAUGACUGAGUGGCGGACGGGUGAGUAACGCGUGGGUAACCUGCCUCAUACAGGGGGAUAGCAGCUGGAAACGGCUGGUAAUACCGCAUAAGCGCACAGUACCACAUGGUACAGUGUGAAAAACUCCGGUGGUAUGAGAUGGACCCGCGUCUGAUUAGCUUGUUGGCGGGGUAACGGCCCACCAAGGCGACGAUCAGUAGCCGACCUGAGAGGGUGACCGGCCACAUUGGGACUGAGACACGGCCCAGACUCCUACGGGAGGCAGCAGUGGGGAAUAUUGCACAAUGGAGGAAACUCUGAUGCAGCGACGCCGCGUGAGUGAAGAAGUAGUUCGCUAUGUAAAGCUCUAUCAGCAGGGAAGAUAGUGACGGUACCUGACUAAGAAGCUCCGGCUAAAUACGUG